UGCGGGGCAGUAAAUCAAAGCCUCUCUCUCAGAGAAGAGCCCAGCGCUGAGCUGAAGUUUAUCAGAUUUGCCCUUACAACAAACACACUCCACAUCAGUCAAGAUAAUUCCUUAUUUGGGUGGAUUUGUAAAAGUGAAACAGUAAUGCAAUGUGUCAGACGAAGCAUGAGAAAAUACUCACUCAAAUCAUGGUAACUACGGACAAAUCUCACAAAUCCUCAUGCCUGUCAUUUUGCAUCUUCAGAGCUGAGUGCAGCCUGUGGAUAUGAGUACUGGCAGCUGGACCCUCAGUAAUAUCACAAAAGGAAUCAGAGCCAGCUGUGGAAAUCACCCUGACACUAAGGGGAGCCACCAGUGACGACUGGACAGCCCUGAUUUCUGGGGAUUAAGCUUGAAAUCUGCAGCAAGAUGGCAAGUUGAGCCACUGAACCUGAGGGGCGAGCUGGGCAGCGCAGGCUUCAGGCUUCAGGCUUCAGGCUCCCCUCAUAAUCGGUGUCCCGCCAGAGCAGACUUUCACCCCGCUGUGACCACAUCUGACACCCUGUCACUCUGCAGCUAAAUGAGGUGUUACAGGCCCAUCACUACCAGGACAAACAGGCUCAGAGACAGCUUCUUUCCACAUACUACCAUCACACAAGGACACUGUGCAAUACUGCAAUAUGGUUCACGUGCAAAAGAGGUCUCUGUACAAUCCACACAACAAUGCAUAUGAAUAAAAUCCUCACUUAUAACUUCGUAUUUGUGCUACUUAUUUUACAUUGUGCACUACUUAUUUUAUAUUAUGUGUUAUUUAUUGUCUUGUGUUACACAACAUUUUUUUUUUUUUUUGCUAAUAUUCACAGUACAUCAG